ACCCAACCACAAGCUCAUCACGAUCCACAAAUGUCGCCACGUCUCUCGCCGACAUCAUAGAAGUGUACUAACCGUGUGGUGUCCAGAUGCCAUGUCUCCUGCUUAGAAGUUUCCGCGACAGAAGAUUCACUUCUUCAUCUUUUUAAAAAAAAAUGCAGAAUCAUUUUCGAUAUCUUACAUGGGUCACUUUUUAAUAGUUAUUGUUCUGUUACUUUUUUUUUCCUUACAUUAAUUAAUACUUUAUCGAAUGUUUGUUUAAGCCGUUUUGGGUAAGCUAUUUGUUAUGAACAAUAAAGUUGUCGGAACAAAGAAUGGAGAACCUUAAAUGAAGCCUUUGUAUUUCACGCAAUUGUUUUUUACUUUUAAGCAGCCCUAUACCAAUUUUUUC